rnacentral:rRNA from 1 species
CAGCCGCCACGGUAAUACGGAGGGUGCAAGCGUUAAUCGGAAUUACUGGGCGUAAAGCGCACGCAGGCGGUCUGACAAGUCAGAUGUGAAAUCCCCGGGCUUAACCUGGGAACUGCAUUUGAAACUGUCAGGCUGGAGUCUUGUAGAGGGGGGUGGAAUUCCAGGUGUAGCGGUGAAAUGCGUAGAGAUCUGGAGGAAUACCGGUGGCGAAGGCGGCCCCCUGGACAAAGACUGACGCUCAGGUGCGAAAGCGUGGGGAGCAAACAGGAUUAGAGACCCCAGUAGUCCCUGUCUCUUAUAC